UUUGAACUAUCAAAAUUAAAAUUAGACUUUUGGGUCUAUGAUUUACACGAACUGCCUAUUUCGCAAUCAUCUGGUGAUCGGAACAGCAUCGUGUCACUCAGUGUAACUCACUGCAGUAUUUUAGGUUAAUGGUCACUCACUUUGAGAUGACAACAUCGAAAUGUAAACAAAGUUUAUUGAUAAAUUGGAUCCAAUGUUUUGAAUUUUUCUUUUUUCAUAGUCACCGGUGCUUCAAUUUGGUGUAUUUUCAGGCUAGAACUGCGGUGAGGAAGAAUUCGGAAGGUUAAAACCGAUUUUCCAGAAAAUCACCAGUCUUCACACCUCAUAGACCCUCGGUCGAGAUGGAAGGGAAUCAACAGUGAAUUAAGGGU